UUCAGACCGCUCUUCACACACGUUGCUAUCCCUUCCUUUAUUCAAGUUUUCUAAUUUUUUCUUUUUCUUAUCUUGAAAGGUUGAAAAAUAAUGAAAAUUUAGUAUAAAAAAGAAAAAUGAAUUCUUAGUAAAUUUUGUAUAAGACAUCUUUUCUAGUGCUAAAGGGGCAAACACCUUACAUUGAUGUACUUACAAUUCAUUUAAUAAUGAUUCUAAUUUUAUGAAGGAUUUUUUACAACUCGGAGAUUAAAACUAUUUAAUUGACGUAACGAGAUUAAUGAUAUUUAUAAUAUUUAUUUUUAAAGCAUAACGAUAUUUAUACACCAUAAAGUGAUAAAACUAUUACAUGUAAAAGGAGAAAAUAUGUGUGAAAUUGUCAAGUUUGUUAUGAUUUUCAUUCUUUCUGCAUUUCUUGUUUCAUCAAACAUAGAUUGGCGUAAUAAUAGAUGUAACAGAGACGCUGAAUGUCGAAAUAUGUAUUGUCGCUGGGGUCUUGAACCAAGGUGUAUCGUACACAAAUGUAAAUGUGUUUAAUUAAUGUUGGAUUAGAUUAUGUUCCCA